UCGAGGUGAACGACUCUGUAUAUCCAAUUCUUUAUAUAUUUUUUUUUCUUUUGCCUUUAUAUCUGAUUUAUUUUUCUUUCCUUUCCGUUCACCAAGGAAAAGAUAGGUUCAGUUUUGAUGACGAGAGAUGCGAAGGAUAUUACAACACAAGUAUAUAGUACUAAUAAAAAAAAAAAAAAGAGGAAAUCGGAGUGGAAAAACGGCAGAUUGGAUCAUGUCAGUUGUUCGUGAAGAAAAAAAAAAAAAGAAAACGCCCGUCCUAUUUACAAGGCUAUAUUGGUAAACAAUAAUCCGCGCUACGUCUUCCCUUUAAUGGCUCCUCGUCGUUUGGAAUCGAAACGAGACACGCACAUUUCAAUUAACCCGGCCGUGAUUUCUUUUAUUUCAUCCGAGUUUUUGCCAUCAUCUCGGUGUGCCAUUUUAAAAUCGCGCCUCGUUUCCGCGUGCAUUCGACGUUAUCAACGACGUUGGCCAUGAACAUGCGAAUUCUAAUUGCAAAGGAUUGACGUGGAGUCACUGCCCCAUGUGGUAUGCAUUUCGUUGUUGUAGACACGGUCUAUUGAACGUCUCCGUAUGUACGUGUGUAUGCAGUUGAUUGUAGUGCACCUCGUGUUUGUUGGCUCGCCGAAGAAAAGGAGUUUUGUGUUUAUAAAAGAGCUGACUGGCAAAACAUCGGUUGCCAUGGUGAGCUUCGUUACACAACCCCUAACCAUUGUAAUAAUACGUUCCCACGAAACUUCUCAGGUUCGUCAGAAAGUAUUUUGAAAACAUCAACAACAACAGCAAAAAAAGCUACAGGAUAAUAUACAACGGGAGCGUGUUAUGGAGGCAACGCAAAAACAGGUGGACCUGCAUUUUUCGCUCUAUGCUAAUCCUGGUAUAUGUGCAGAUGUUAGAGGGUGUUUAAGUAUAUGACGUACACAACAAACAAAAGUGUGUAGAUGCAGGAAUGCCUAGGAAAGAUAUACAUACUUUAUGACAUUAUUGAGCCGCGAGGACCUGGGUGGAGUACUGGUGGGCUAGUCGAUGAGAGAAGAGUAAAAAAAAAAAUAAUAAUAAUAAAGUAGACGUGGUUUGAAAAGUUAAGUACGGCCUUGUUUUGUUUUUUUUUGUUUUUUUUGUUUUUUUCUUAUAUCGCAUUUCUAUUGUUUUCGCAUGACUUGGUUCGGUUGGCAAUCAGAGACGGAACUUGUUAGUAUCUACCUGAUUACUUGGUAAUCUCGGUGUCUUAUACCUGUGCACGCAGUAGUUGAUCAAUGACAACUUGAUCAUCACAUGAUCUUCUUGGCCGUUCUUCGUGGGGAUUUAUUCAGAAGAUUGUAAUCACGUCAAUCUAUAAAAUCCUCUUUUCGAUACGUGCAGCGCCGUCUCGCCAGGUUGCUCCCACACAUUAGUGAAACGAGUCCAGGAGGACGUGUGUGCGUGUGUACGUGCUUGGCAAAAUCGGAUCGAUGGGGCUGUCGGUGCUCUUCUAGAUGGCGGGCUUACGUAAUAGCCUGGAUGUACUUACUUUUCUCAUUACUGUAUUUCGAUCGGGAAGAAAAGGGCCGGUACUUUUCAUCAGCCUUUCGUUACAGAUUCCGUUUUCUAUAUUGUAAAAAUCUUGUCGAUUUUCUCAAUUGUCCUCUUUUUUUUUUUUUUUUUUUUUAGUUCAGCCAGCCAGAAAACAAAUCGAUUUGAUUAAUGGUCUGUAUUGAUUAUCGAGUUUGACGAUAGUUUGUAAUGCAUUUGCCAUUGCUUAAAAAUAGGUAAGCAUUGUAACUGGACCUUGUCCUCUGAAUAUUUUCCAUAAAUGAUAUGUAAAAUUGACAAAGACUUCCAUCCCUCCCUUGUGUGGACCUGCCUGCAUGAGAAUACA